GGUUAAGUGACUAAGCGUAUACGGUGGAUGCCUAGGCAGUUAGAGGCGAUGAAGGACGUGUAAAUCUGCGAAAAGCUGUGGUGAGCUGAUAAAACGCAUUUGAGCCACAGAUGUCCGAAUGGGGAAACCCAGUGUGCUUGCACACUAUCCUAUACUGAAUACAUAGGUAUAGGAGGCUAACCGGGAGAACUGAAACAUCUAAGUACCCCGAGGAAAAG
rnacentral:rRNA from 1 species